rnacentral:rRNA from 1 species
AGUGAACGCUGGCGGCAGGCCUAACACAUGCAAGUCGAGCGGCAGCACGGCAAUAGCAAUAUUGUGGGUGGCGAGCGGCGGACGGGUGAGGAAUGCAUCGGGAUCUACCCUGUCGUGGGGGACAACGUAGGGAAACUUACGCUAAUACCGCAUGAUCUGGAGACAGCAAAGCCGGGGACCUUCGGGCCUGGCGCGAUGGGAUGAGCCGAUGUCCGAUUAGCUAGUUGGCGGGGUAAAGGCCCACCAAGGCGACGAUCGGUAGCUGGUCUGAGAGGACGACCAGCCACACUGGAACUGAGACACGGUCCAGACUCCUACGGGAGGCAGCAGUGGGGAAUAUUGGACAAUGGGGGCAACCCUGAUCCAGCCAUGCCGCGUGGGUGAAGAAGGCCUC